rnacentral:rRNA from 1 species
AUGGGCGCAGCCUGAUCCAGCCAUGCCGCGUGGGUGAUGAAGGCCCUAGGGUUGUAAAGCCCUUUCGGCGGGGAAGAUAAUGACGGUACCCGCAGAAGAAGCCCCGGCUAACUUCGUGCCAGCAGCCGCGGUAAUACGAAGGGGGCUAGCGUUGCUCGGAAUCACUGGGCGUAAAGCGCACGUAGGCGGCUUCUUAAGUCAGGGGUGAAAUCCUGGAGCUCAACUCCAGAACUGCCUUUGAUACUGAGGAGCUCGAGUCCG